rnacentral:lncRNA from 1 species
GCCUCGCGAGACCGCUGUCUACGGCGCUGACGCCGCCUCUGCCUCUUGACCCCUUGGCCCCGCUGUCCUGAUCCCUGAGGUCGGGGCCUGGUCUGCACUCCAGGAAAGACGAGUGCGCUUAGUGUGCGCUGCACGUGAGCAGUGAAGUUGAUUCCACGCGCUGCGCUGCUCGGCAGCUGUCCCAGAACUGACCACGGACCCCUCCGCGGGUCCUGCUCCUGACAAGGGCCUUCCGGCACUGGGAGUUUUGUGUUAGUGGAAAGGAAGAAUCUAAUAAUACCACCACCUUUACAGUAAAGACGCUGCGAAUUGACGCCUUUUAUAAUAAAGACACUUAUCUUGCCCAAGAGCUGGCAUCUGGGUUUCCUGCAUUACUUAUUAAGAAGCUUUCACCACCUCGCAGUUGUAGAGAUAGUCCCCGAAAUAUUAUUCCAAUAAAGUGUUUUCCUCCUUUC